AUGGCCCUCUUCAUCCACUUCGGGCCCAACACCUUCACGGACUCCGAGUGGGGCUCCGGUCACGCCGACCCCGCCGUGUUCGCGCCGUCCGCGCUCGACGCCGGCCAAUGGGCGCGCGUCGCGGCGGAGGGAGGGUUCGGCCGCGUGGUGCUCACGGCCAAGCACCACGACGGGUUCUGCCUCUGGCCGUCGGCGCUGACGGACUACUCGGUGGCCGCCUCGCCGUGGCGGGGUGGGGCGGGGGACGUCGUCGGCGAGCUCUCGGCCGCCGCGCGCGCGGAGGGGAUCGGGCUGGGGCUGUACCUGUCGCCGUGGGACCGCCACGAGCCGGUGUACGGCGACACGGUCGCGUACAAUGAGCACUACAUGGGCCAAAUGACGGAAUUGCUCACCAGGUAUGGAGAUGUGGAGGAAGUUUGGCUUGAUGGUGCAAAGGGCGACGACAUGUACAUGGAUUACAUGUUUGAUGCCUGGUUUGCGCUUAUCCAUCAGCUCCAGCGAAGGGUGGUUAUCUUCUCAGAUGCUGGACCAGAUACUAGAUGGGUAGGAGACGAGGCGGGGAUUGCGGGCCGUACUUGCUGGUCUCCUUUCAACAAGACUGUUGUGACAAUUGGACAUAUCAUUCCUGAAUACUCACAAAGUGGGGAUCAAUUUGGUGAAGAAUGGGUUCCUGCAGAAUGUGAUGUUUCCAUCAGGCCAGGAUGGUUCUGGCAUGCCUCAGAGAAACCAAAAAGUGCUGUAACCCUGCUUGACAUAUACUACAAAUUAGUUGGUAGAAAUUGUCUCCUCAUAUUGAAUGUUCCUCCCAAUUCAUCCGGGCUUAUUUCCGACGAAGAUAUGCAAGUCCUUCAGGAAUUCACCGAGAUCCGACAGACAAUUUUCUCUCACAACUUUGCUGCCAACGCGACUGUCACAGCAAGCAGUGUGCGUGGUGGGUUGGAGAACCUGCAGUUUGCACCCUCCAACGCCCUCCGAGAUAGCAUAUACUCCUACUGGGCACCACAGGAAGGGCAGACAAGCUGGGAAAUGCUCUUCGACCUCGGGCGAUCCACUUCCUUCAACUUGCUCCAGCUCCAGGAGCCUAUCCAGAUGGGCCAGCGUGUGAUCGAGUUCCAUGUGGAUGUCCUACUGGGUGGACUGUGGCAAACAAUUCUUGAAGGCACGACAAUUGGGUACAAGAGGCUGCUCCGGUUCCCUGCCGUCGAAGCCCGGUACCUGAAGCUAUGUGUCGACAGUGCACGUGCAGACCCACUGAUUGCAUUCGUCGGCGUUUUCAUGGACCCCUUCUCGGAUGCAUAUGGUUUAGACCAUGAGAAGCCAUCCCAUACUAAUAGCAGUGAAGUCAUAAUGUUAAGGAGAGGCCAUGCUGCUGCCAACAGGAGUACUGCUGCAAUGUAA
rnacentral:rRNA from 1 species